rnacentral:rRNA from 1 species
UACAGAGGCCCCAAGCGUUACUGAGAAUCACUGGGUUUAAAGGGUGCGUAGGUGGCGCGUUAAGUCCGUUGUGAAAGCCCUGGGCUCAACCCAGGAACUGCUUCGGAUACUGGCGCGCUUGAGGCUAGUAGAGGUCACUGGAACUGACGGUGGAGCGGUGAAAUGCGUAGAUAUCGUCAGGAACGCCAAUGGUGAAGACAGGUGACUGGGCUAGUUCUGACACUGAGGCACGAAAGCGUGGGGAGCAAACAGG